rnacentral:tmRNA from 1 species
GGGGGCGUUCAGAUUCGACAGGGUUAUAGGGUCAUGAGUUGCAGGUCGGGGAGCUUGAUCCUUCGUUAACAAGUAAGCAAAAACACAGAUGCAAAUAAUGUCAUCAAAUUCCCUAGCCGCAG